AACAAACGCUGGCGGCGUGCCUAACACAUGCAAGUCGUACGAGAAAGGGUCCUUCGGGACCUGAGUAAAGUGGCGCACGGGUGAGUAACGCGUGGAUAAUCUGCCCUUCAGUUGGGAACAACUCAUCGAAAGGUGGGCUAAUACCGAAUAACAGUGUGAGACUUUGGUCGAGCAGUCAAAGAGAGCCUCUGCUUGCAAGCCCUCGCUGAAGGAUGAGUCCGCGUACCAUUAGCUAGUUGGCAGGGUAAUGGCCUACCAAGGCGACGAUGGUUAGCUGGUCUGGGAGGAUGAUCAGCCACACUGGAACUGAGAUACGGUCCAGACUCCUACGGGAGGCAGCAGUGAGGAAUCUUGCGCAAUGGGGGAAACCCUGACGCAGCAACGCCGCGUGAGUGAGGAAGGUCUUCGGAUCGUAAAGCUCUGUCAGUUGGGAAGAAAUGCCUGAGGGUCAAUAUCCUUCAGGCUUGACGGUACCAACAGAGGAAGCACCGGCUAACUCCGUGCCAGCAGCCGCCGUAAGAC
rnacentral:rRNA from 1 species